UACGUAGGUGGCAAGCGUUGUCCGGAUUUAUUGGGGUUAAAGGGUGCGUAGGUGGUCUAUUAAGUCAGUGCUGAAAUAUCCCGGCUUAACCGGGAGGGUGGCAUUGAUACUGAUGGACUUGAGUGAAGUCGAGGUAGGCGGAAUUGACGGUGUAGCGGUGAAAUGCUUAGAUAUCGUCAAGAACACCGAUAGUGUAGACAGCUUACUAGGCUUUAACUGACACUGAGGCACGAAAGUGUGGUGAUCAAACAGG
rnacentral:rRNA from 1 species